rnacentral:rRNA from 1 species
GCAGCAGACUAACAAGGAUUCCCCUAGUAACGGCGAGUGAAGCGGGAAUAGCUCAAAUUUGAAAUCUCACUGGUUUCCAGUGCGAAUUGUAGUUUAUAGAAACGUUUUCUGGGUUAACUUUUGGUACAAGUUCAUUGGAACAUGACAUCAUAGAGGGUGAAAAUCCCGUCUUUGACCAUUAGUUUAAUUCAAUGUGAUACGUUUUCUACGAGUCGGUUUGUUUGGGAAUGCAGACCAAAAUGGGUGGUAAAUACCAUCUAAAGCUAAAUAUUGGCGAGAGACCGAUAGCGAACAAGUACCGUGAGGGAAAGAUGAAAAGAACUUUGAAAAGAGAGUUAAAUAGUACGUGAAAUUGUCAAAAGGGAAACGUUUGAAACCAGUAUUGUGAAUAAUAAUUCAAUUAAUCUUUUGAUUAAUGCACUUUAUUAUUUACGAGUCAACAUCAGUUUGAAAUUGAAUAAAAAGUUAUAGUAAGGUAACCUUCGGGUAUUAUAGACUAUAAUCAUAUUCUUUUUUAGACUGAGGACUGCAGCUUUUGCUUAGGAUGUUGACGAAAUGGUUUUAAGCGACCCGUCUUGAAACACGGACCAAGGAGUCUAACAAAUAUGCGAGUAUUUGGGUGGUAAACCCUUAUGCGUAGUGAAAGCGAAAAGGUGGGAAUCUUUAUUGAUGCACCAUCGGCCGCGUUCAAUUAUUAUUAUUGUAACGUGAGUAUGAGCAUAUUUGCUGGGACCCGAAAGAUGGUGAACUAUGCCUGAAUAGGGUGAAGCCAGAGGAAACUCUGGUGGAGGCUCGUAGCGGUUCUGACGUGCAAAUCGAUCGUCAAAUUUGGGUAUAGGGGCGAAAGACUAAUCGACCUCU